GUCUCUCUCCCUGUGCUGUGUGUCACUCCGGCAGAGCAGAUAAAGCUAUAAGAAUGCAAGCUGCCAGUCUCGCCUUUCACCCUCCGGCACUCCGUACUUCACCUUCUUACCUCUCCUCCAAACUUCCCCACCACCUCAAUUAUUCACUCUUCAAACACGCUCCUUCAACUUCCACACUAUCUUUAACCCAAGUACUCUCCAGAAAUACCAUUUGCAAACCCCCAGCUGUUGGAAAAUAUGUCAGGGAGGAUUAUCUUGUGAAGAAAUUAUCUGCCAAGGAGAUUCAAGAACUGAUAAAGGGAGAAAGGAAUGUGCCACUGAUUAUUGAUUUCUAUGCCACAUGGUGUGGUCCUUGUAUUUUGAUGGCGCAAGAACUUGAAAUGCUUGCUGUG
rnacentral:misc_RNA from 1 species